AGUGAACGCUGGCGGUAGGCCUAACACAUGCAAGUCGAACGGCAGCACAGUAAGAGCUUGCUCUUACGGGUGGCGAGUGGCGGACGGGUGGGGAAUACAUCGGAAUCUACUUUUUCGUGGGGGAUAACGUAGGGAAACUUACGCUAAUACCGCAUACGACCUACGGGUGAAAGCAGGGGAUCUUCGGACCUUGCGCGAUUGAAUGAGCGGAUGUCGGAUUAGCUAGUUGGCGGGGUAAAGGCCCACCAAGGCGACGAUCCGUAGCUGGUCUGAGAGGAUGAUCAGCCACACUGGAGCUGAGACACGGUCCAGACUCCUACGGGAGGCAGCAGUGGGGAAUAUUGGACAAUGGGCGCAAGCCUGAUCCAGCCAUACCGCGUGGGUGAAGAAGGCCUUCGGGUUGUAAAGCCCUUUUGUUGGGAAAGAAAAGCAGCAGGUUAAUACCCCGCUGUUCUGACGGUACCCAAAGAAUAAGCACCGGCUAACUUCGUG
rnacentral:rRNA from 1 species